rnacentral:piRNA from 1 species
UGUAGGCCGCGUGUGAGAGGGAUGG